rnacentral:lncRNA from 1 species
GUGGCUUUGUAGUUUAAUAAGUUGUUGUGGAUCCUUCAAGUGUUAGAGUGGAUAUGCCACUUUUGAAGGAUUCCAGGGUGUCAGACAUACCUAUUGCUUCAGAUAGUGAGUUCCAGUCCGAAAUAGUGCGAGGAUAGAAUGAAAAUUUAUAGAAAUCUUUAUUUGUAGAUAUUUGCCUAAAUUUAUGUUUCCCCCUAGUACGUCUAUCAGAUAUUGUUAAAUUGUCCUUAGGAACUUCAACUAACCCCCAAUUUAUUUUAUACAGCAUAGUUAAUCUAGCUUUUUUCCUUCUUAUUUUUAAAUUUUCCCAUUCCAAAGAUUUAAUUAAAUUUGAAACUGCACCAGGUGAUCUGUCUUUAUAAUCAUUGAAGACAAACCUGGCUGCCUUACGCUGUACCUGCUCAACCUGAGUGAUGUGUUGUUUUUUUG